rnacentral:rRNA from 1 species
GACGAACGCUGGCGGCGUGCUUUACACAUGCAAGUCGAACGGUGAAGGCGGAGCUUGCUCCGCCGGAUCAGUGGCGAACGGGUGAGUAACACGUGGGCAACCUGCCCCUCACUUCGGGAUAACUCCGGGAAACCGGGGCUAAUACAGGCUCCGACCUCCUGGGGAAUCCUUGGAGGUGGAAAGGUUUUCGGUGAGGGAUGGGCCCGCGGCCUAUCAGCUUGUUGGUGAGGUAGUGGCUCACCAAGGCGACGACGGGUAGCCGGCCUGAGAGGGCGACCGGCCACACUGGGACGGAGACACGGCCCAGACUCCUACGGGAGGCAGCAGUGGGGAAUAUUGCGCAAUGGGCGAAAGCCUGACGCAGCAACGCCGCGUGCGGGAUGAAGGCCUUCGGGUUGUAAACCGCUUUCAGCAGGGAAGAAGCCGCAAGGUGACGGUACCUAACCAGAAAGCCACGGCUAACUACGUGCCAGCAGCCGCAGUAA